rnacentral:lncRNA from 1 species
GUUUUCUUACACUCGCUGUAAUGGAGUUGCUUGUCUUCAUAGUGUUUCAGCUUCUUAUUGAGGUUCAGACUGACAACACACUUCAGAAACCCUUCAUCAGUGUUAGUGACUAUGAGGAUCUGCUCAUCAUAGCAUGUGAAAUACCAGCUUCAGUCAGAGCUGAUGUGUCCUGUAAUCUCUACACUGGAGAUGGAGCUCUUCUGUACAGCCAUGACUCUCAGUUGAGUUCAUCUGGAGAUCAACAUCUUUGUAUGUUUAAUCAAAAUCUUAGUGAUCUCUUGAGAAGAUCAGGAAACAUCAGACAGUUGAGCUGUGAUUAUUCACUCAAGACUAAACCUGACAUCAGAUCUCCACACAGUGACACAUACACACUCAGAGGUAUGAUUUAAUUGUAUAUUAUUUUAACAUAUGACAGUUUUAAUGUGUCGAGACUAUCAAUCUGUAGCCA